UGAGAGGUCGGCUGUUCAUUGUGAACUCU
rnacentral:sRNA from 1 species